GACGAACGCUGGCGGCGUGCUUAACACAUGCAAGUCGAACGGAAAGGCCCCUUUGGGGGUCCUCGAGUGGCGAACGGGUGAGUAACACGUGAGUAACCUGCCCUUGACUUCGGGAUAACUUCAGGAAACUGGGGCUAAUACCGGAUAGGAAUCCUUGCUGCAUGGUGGGGGUUGGAAAGCUUCUGCGGUUUUGGAUGGACUCGCGGCUUAUCAGCUUGUUGGUGGGGUAGUGGCUUACCAAGGCUUUGACGGGUAGCCGGCCUGAGAGGGCGACCGGCCACAUUGGGACUGAGAGACGGCCCAGACGCCGACGGGAGGCAGCAGUGGGGAAGAUUGCACAAUGGGCGGAAGCCUGAUGCAGCAACGCCGCGUGCGGGAUGACGGCCUUCGGGUUGUAAACCGCGUUCAGCAGGGGCGAAGCUUGUGGUGACGGUACCUGCAGAAGAAGCACCGGCUAACUACGUG
rnacentral:rRNA from 1 species